rnacentral:lncRNA from 1 species
GAGGAAUUGGCUGACAAAUCUAUAGAUAGCAGCCUAGCCUAAUUUCGUCCAUCAAACAGAUUACACUGGUCUGUAUGGCUUUCUUUCUUGACUGUCUGUGUGGCUUGAUGGGUUAAUACGGUUGUCCUUUCUUCACCCAAUGCCAUACCUCGCACCCAAUCCAUACCUCGCACACCCUCAGUGUCAGUGACGCAAACAGAUGAGGUCAAUCUCAGGAAGCGGGGUGUAGAUCAUGUUUUUUUUCCAAACUGCCGUCUGAGGGGACUGAGCAAUGGAGGAUGGAGGCAGGGCCAUGUCAUACCACAUCAUCAUACCACAUCCUGCCUCACCCUCCAACCUGCACCUUAUGGCUCUGUUGGCGUGGUAAUCAAAACGGACCGUUUCCUCUUGUCAACUUCGAAUGGGUGGCUUCUGGUUCGAGGUAUCCCAUGGGGCCAUAGGGCAGGGUGCGAUAAUGAGUGUUGCUGCAGAAGAGGAAAUUACGAGUAAAGGGGAAGAGGCAGUGAGAUGAGAAAGCUGGACAAUUAGACAUGAUGAGAUUGACUCUGAUUUCCCUCGCCAUGUGCCUUCCUCACCUCCUCGCCACUCUUGUCUUCCAUUCUACCACUGCGGCUUCACCAAGCGCCACAGAAACAACAACAACAGCUCUAGACCUUAGUAUCAGCACUACAACAUCAGACCCCCUGAUAAUUCCACUCUCCACAACUGAAAACCACCCUGGUAGGACUAGUGGCAUGUUCAACACACAAGUGAAGAAAAGCGCUAGCUUAGCAGCUGUCAACAACUCAGGCAGAACGACUCAAGGAAGAGGCAUUCUCAGAACAGGAACUGCCACUUACGCCACCACAGCUGUACAGAAGAGCAACAGGCACAUAACUGCAGGAGACUUGAGGAGGGAAACAGAGAGCCACAAUCACCAUGAGACUCUUCCCUUCAGCAGACACACAGCCUCACCCACAACUGACCACCCCAGCACCACCUCUCUCCCCGGGGAGGAAGGGACUGAGUAUCAUGACAGCAGCACCACUGAAACAGCCAGAGAACUGAGCACACCAAAUUCCAUAGAGACAUGGGCUGCUGACACCAUUAAUGACUCCAGGCUAGCGAAGCCACACUUAGACAGGUCACAAGCAGCAGACCAGCACCCUGCUACACAAGGACUAGAGAUUGCAUCAGGAGAUUACUACACAACACAGAGAGACUUCUUCACAAUCACCCCAACUAGUAGAGUGACAGGUUUGAACAGAGGUAAACAAAGUAAGGCCAACAGCGUCACAACAACAACAACAACGGUUUCACCUACGUACACAGUCACACGUCCUGGUUUGUAUGAGCACAUGACUGUGACUUACUGGGCUACCGGCUACAAAACACAACCUGACGACACAAGCCAGUCUAUGGACAACCAGGACCACGCCACCAUUUCAAUCCCCCAUGCUGACAAUAGGACAACUCCAUAUAUCAAUGCAAACACGUUUACAGAUAAUGACACAGACAACGACACAAACACACUUUCACACAGUAAUACCACAACCUCUAAUAAUCGUAACACAACAGUACUUUUGAAGGAGAAAACUCAUUCAUUCAGACACAACCACACAAUCUCAGGUUAUGACAACAGGCUGAACAACACAACUGAAAACACUGUGCAUGAUCGUCCUGAGUGCGGAGAGGCAGAUGAAAGGUCCCUGUCGUUGCUUCCUGGCUCUUCUAGACUGGUCUGUUUCAUUGUUCUGUGGGCUCUGGGAUUGACUGCUUCGGUCUUCCUCGGUCUCACUGUCUUCCUGUGGGUGCGUUUGUCAGUCCAGAGAGAGAGGGGAAGGAGAGUGAGGAGAGGAGGAGAGAAUGUGUCAGGGGUGGAUCUGGAGAACCUGUGGGUCGACCAGAUGUCGUCGGUGGAGGAAAGGGUUGAAUUCUGGUACACCAACGGCUCCACCAUGGGACCCGACCAUAAACGGAGGGAGAGAGAGAGAGAGAGGGUGAAGGAGAGGGGGAGGAGGGAGCAGGGGAGGCAGAAAGGGAUAGAGUGUGACAACCUGUGGACUCAACCCAAAGUGACACUGGAGGACAUCACUGAUUUCUGGUAUGCAAAUGGAAGAGCGAUACCAGAAGAAACUACAGACCAAACGCUGUUGGAGACCUGCGUAUGAUUCUGUUUUUUGUACUACAGUACUACAAUUUACCUGGAAUUACUUUGGAGAGAAAUGUUCAUCAUUAUUUUACCAAUUCCAUGGCAGAUUUGAACACUGUAAUCCUGACCAAGUUUAAACAUUUCCAAAAUGAAUUGAUAAUCUGUAUGUUUAUUGGCUGUAACAAAAGUAUAAGUAUGUGAUCUACAUAAGUCUACGGAAAGAUAGAUUAAGGCUGGGUCUGAUCAGAGAGAAAGAAGAGGACAGAGAGAGAGGAAUAGAGAGAGAGAUCAGAACAAUGUCUAACUGGAAAUAACACUUGAUAAGAGAGUUCCCAUUUUAAGACAAUUCAGACCUUGUUAGAGACACAUCAUCAUCGUGUGUCAGACAGCAACGAGGAGAUAGGUGCCAUUUCUACAAACACACUGACACAAAUACGGUUGACUCCUAAUACUGUACAUGCACUGUUAUUAGGAGCUAGUCAAAUAAAAAGGACUGCACUGGGCGUAAACAACUUAGUUUCAUUUACCUGACUGACCAUGUUUACACGCGCACAGCAUUCCAGAUAAUAGCUCAUAACCUAGUUAAGGUCUUAUUCGAGAUAAGCUGUUAAAAUACAUCUUUGAUAUCCCGCUUACGAGUAUCCCUGUAUAAACAGAAUAUUCCUAAAUUUACCCAUGAUACUAUGCAAAACUGAGCUUGUACAAACAAUGUAAAACAACAGUAAACGGAAUAAUAUAUUUGUAUGACACAGUAUCCCGUCUACAAUCAGCAUAUCCCAGGCAUUUUAACUGGGUUUCUCAUAACCGGGACACAAGCUUAUUCGGGUUAUUGUAAACGGGAUAUGAUGCUAAUAUGCGGCAACUAAAAAACGGAAUACUAGAAUAUCCCAAAUAGUAACGGAAUAUCGGUGUGCCUGUGAACAUGGUGACCUAUCAGGAAUUGACUAUAGGUCUACCUCACAAUUGAUAGUGGAUCGGCCAUUUGAUCAAUAAUGUAUAACUGUAAAUACAGUAGAAAAUAUACCCUUGUAGAAUUUAACACCUAACCAGCUGAAGUUUGACAUAUAAUGUCCCAAGACAUGAGAUUUUUUUUUUUUAUUACAUUAUAAAACAGAAUUUUCAUCAUACUCUCUCUACUUUGAAUUCUCAUGUUUUGACAACCUAUGCCCUUUGACUGCCUGCUCCCCACACACACGCACACACACCGUCAAACAAACACACAUCCAAGUAGGCCUGUGUGUACGUGUGCAAACACACUCUGGCUCAAACAUUUCAACACACACACACAGCUUCUUCUCUUUGUAGGACCAACUUCUCCUUUUUCAUCAAGAAAAUAAGCACAUGACGCAAUAAACAAAAUGAAGCUACUCUUAAGUUAUUUGGCACCUCUCUAACCCCACCACUUUCGCAGUUAACAAAACUGUUUUACGAAGAAUUUGAUACUCUGAGGGGAAGAGAUAGAGAGAACCAACUAGAGAGAGAAAGGGAGGGGAGAGAAAGAAGGGAGUGAACAGGAGGGAGGGAGGGAGGGAGCGAGCGAGCGAGAAAGGUGUUUUGGACAUGUACUAGUGCACGAGAUGUCAUUCACACAGUACAGGAGUUAAAGCAUGUGCCUUUAAGGUGGAUUCAUAAUUUCAAUCCAAUCGUUUUCUCCAAGCAACAUGUGGGUAAGUACGAUUUUAGUUUUUUAUCAAAUGGCACACAUUGAUAUAUGUCUGAUCUAAACAGACACUGAUCUGAUUAACUGUGUGAAGAGGCAAGAAAAAGGAGGGAGAGAGAUGUUUCGAAAAUACAAUCAGGUGAACUUUCUUAGGCUUGUGUUAAAUUUACUGACACGCUCUUGUAGUAAGAUGGUCCUCCUAAUGUAUCUCUUCAUAAUUCUUUUUAAAUACAUUUUUAGGGGCCAUUUUCUUUAAAUACGUUAUUUUUAUCAAUUGGUCUUUAAGUCUUCAUCUUUUAUCACUGUCUUUUUAAGACAGGCCAACUUGCUUUUAGACACUCAUUUAGAUUUUUUCCCCCCAUUUCUAUUAUAUGUAACAGUCAAAUGGAUGGUGACAUCGUAGACAAGAAUAAACAACAAAAAGUAGUGUUGGGUAACUUCCUUCAUUUUUUAGGUGUGUACUAAGCAAGCAUUUUACAUCUACAGCGGUUCAGACAGUGGAUGCUGUGAGGAGGUAAACAUAUUAUACAGUACAUGUGGCAAUGUACGCAUAAAAUAACCUCUACAUUCCUUCUUCCAUAUCUUCCUUUACCCUUCAAUCUGUCCUUUUCUCUAUAGGUCUCGUGCUUUUUUUGGUUCACCGUUGCUGCAAUCUCUCACGCUACACUUGAAAUAGACAGCUGAUACAGAAAAGUAAAGUGAAGUGCAGGGGAGUAGGAGGAAAGCUGAAGUGCGCGAGAGGAAGAGAAGGGUUGUGUCUUUCCGGUCUAUUUGCACCUAAAUACACCCUAGUGAACAACAAGCCCAGCAACCAGGAGAGACAGCAAGAGAACACAAGUUUGACUAUGUAAGUGCACUUCAUAUGCCUAACACUCAGUCAAACCUUUGUUAAUAAUCUAAGGCAUGGCCUGAAAGAAAGGGAAAUUCCGAGAGCAGUGAAGAUCAAAGCCUGACACACAAUCGUUGUCAAACCAAGAACCCCGGUACCUGAUGACGGAUACCGCUUUUCUUUUCUAGAAUGUACAUUUUUCUGCUCUAGACUUGUAAAACAAACCUCCAAUACCUUUCAAGCCACAACGCUGUCGCUGAUGCACCUCAGAAAGAGGAAGACAAACGUAAUCUGAGAGAUCAGCAAAACCCUUCAGGGACGGUUGACCUCUGUGACCCCUCUCACUUCUUGCCCAGUAUGGAGCGGAUACAGCUGAUGCUUGGGGCUCUGCUCCUCUCCCUCUCUCUGCCCAGUCUCCCUGCCCAAGAUAAUGUCACCGUCACUGUACCUGAGAAUGUCACCAUGGCAGCACCUAUUAAUGAGGAAGUCACGAUGGCAGCCUCUACACCGGAGGCCACCAUAGAGACAACGCCUGCUCCUGUGGUCAUCACUAGGGCACAGCCUGCCCCUGAAAUCAUCACCCCGGUAACUGCUAUUCCGAAAGUAACUUCUGUUUUAGUACGUACCACUGAUGCCAUCACUAUGGUAAUAACAAACCCUGAGAUCACCAUCGUUCAGGAGUCCACCUCUGAUGCACCAACUACUACUUCAGAGGUUGAAACGAUGACACCUUCCCCUGUGACCACUGAAGGGCCUAUAGAUACGACCAAUCCACCUGGUCCUAAACCCACCCUCUCCCAAGACGUCCUUAUGACCGCCUCUUAUCUCCCAACCCCUUCCCAGGACCACCUGACAUUUGUUAUCCCAGUCUGGCCCCUCCAAACCACCCCUCAUCUGACGGAGGACUCCACUUACACACCUGAACCUACACCUGCCUCAGAGAUUACUGCCUACCACACAGAGGGACUUACCACUGCACCCACCUCCCCAUUGGUCAAUCCCCCUCCCGGCCAUGCCACGACCCCCGCUACCACCCACACCUCCACAGAUCCAGACUCUACGGUGGCUGGGGUCAGGGUGAAGACAGGUCAGCCCAGCUUGUUAUGGGUCAUCAUCGUUGCUCUCCUGAUCGUGGUUAUAUUCGCGGGCGGGUUCUACUGUGUUUGUCUGGUCAUCAGACGAAAGAGGCAGAGCCACACCGAGUACUUUGUGUCCAGCUUCCGGAACGGGAAGAGUUCCAAGCGGAAGAAAGGGGCGGAGGAAGACGCCUGGGCAGGGCCAGUGAAGCUAGGGCGUGGGGAUGGGGAGGAGGAUGAGGGUGGGGAGGAGGGAGGGAGCCCAGAGGACAACAAGAGAGAGGGGGCUGGAACGGAUGUGGUGCUGAGCACAUUCAUAGCCAACGAGACUGAGGGAGAGAGGGGUGGGCCUGAUGGGGGAGUAGGAGUGGCUGGGAGCAAGGAGGCAGAGAAAUGGGAGGAGAAGGAGCCUCUGCUGUACAUUGAUGAGGGAGUGGAGGAGGGGCAAGAGAGGAUGGCUCUUCCUUCACUUUCAAAAUCGAACUGAGAAAAGACAGGAGGGGAAAAAAGAGAGGGGGAAAGUGAAAAAGAAAUGGAGAGGGGAGAAGGGAAUGGAAAGAAAGAAAAUUAGAGUGAGAGGUAAGAAGAAUGGAGGAGCGGCAUUCUGUCUAACCACUGCAGUUUAAAAAUAGAAGAGUUUUCCAUAAAAAGAUUUUCUAGGUGAUAAUGUAAAAGUUAAAAAUAUUUUUGUACUACUGAAAAGGCCUUUGACAUUGUAUGUAUCUGUGAUUGUGUGCUCUGUCAACAUAACUCAGGGAAGAUAGGAGUGGUUGUGUGCAUGGUCAUAAGUUUUACCCUUGGUAUUUUGUAUGCUGUUUUGUCUUAAUGUUUUUUUGUUAAAUAAAGUUUUAGAUGUGCAGAGUGCAUGUUCUAGAAUGAAGUUGUUGAACGUGGCAGAAUAUUAAUACUUUUUGCUUAACAAUUUGCGGUCUUCAAAUGCACUUUAUUUAUGGAACUGCUUAAAUCAAUAGCAAUCAAUUCAUAGGUGCAAAUCUGAACUUCCACUGAGACAAAUAGUCACUUAGUCUCCCAUUGACAUCAUGACUAAGUGAAUAUUCAACUUCAGUGGAAGUUGGGAUUUGUCCCAUAGAAAAGGCUUUGUUUACUUGAUUUGAUAUGGGGUUCCCGAGUGGCGCAGCGGUCUAAGGCACUGCAUCUCAGUGCUAGAGGCGUCACUACAAACACCCUGAUUUGAAUCCAGGCUGUAUCACAACCGGCUAUGAUUGGGAGUCCCAUAGGGUGGUGCACAAUUGGCCCAGCAUUGUCCGAGUUUGGCCGGUGUAGGCUGUGAUUGUAAAUAAGAAUUUGUUCUUAAUUGACUUGCCUGGUUAAAUAAAAAAAACAUACGUGUUGCUGAUUAUGGCCACUAGGUUGUGCCCUUUCCCCAUCUUUAUGAUCAGAGCACAGUUCAAUGUGACCUGCAGUAAAGAGCGGUGUUGUGAUGACGCACAGGUCUUCUAUUCUACUGGUCUGUUUUUUCUGAAGUUGCAUCUGUUGCAAACGUCUAGCAGAGAAAACAGCAGAGAUCAAAAACAGUUGUUCAGGCAAACAACUCAGUCAUAGAACCCCUCUGAUGUGAUGUGAUCACAAAUUAAACUUAAAGCCACAACAACCGCUUUUAGUAAGAUUGAUCCUUGGUAAAUAGAAAAUGUUAUCCUGGCCACUACACCACCUCAACCUUCGUCAACUAUUAUUUCAGGAAGGGGAGUAAGUAUGUGUGUGGGUUGGGGGAGGGGGGUGCGUACAACAGAAUCAGAGGAAAUAGAAGAGAAACAAAUCUGCAACUCUGUCAAAUAAAUGCCUUAAUGUCUCUCUGCUCUGCUCUGCUGAAUAGGAUAAUCUGACAGAGAAUAAUGUUUGUUUAGAGAGAGAGAAGGAGAGAGGUAGAGAGUGUGAAAGGGAGGAGGGAGAGAGAUGUGGUGAGUAAGGGGAUGGAGGUGUGGAGGAAGAAGGGGCGCUGGAGGAGCGACGGCAAAAAUACUGAGGAGAGGAGAGAGCAAGAGAGAAAAGAGAGCGGCCAACAACACAGUCACAUCUGGAAGUUAUUGAGAAGUAGAGAGAGCGAGGGAGAGAGAAAGAGAGAGAACUAUUGUGAAUUGAAAAGAGGGAGAAAGGAUAAACAAACUCUAGAUGUAGGGAUAGAUAGAUUUAUUAAAUGUAUCAACUGAGUUAAAGAUUUACGGGAGGACAGAGUUUAUCUAAAAGUUGACAAGAAUUCUACAGUGGACAGAGAGAAAGGAACAGAGGAAACAAAGAGAGAGCGCAAGAAACUGUAAUUCUAUCCUAAGAACAAUCCAUACCAAGAGGGGAGGACGACAAAGAGGGAAAAUUAAUGUAGCUUUCUAAUCUGGAGGACCGUCUAAAACAGAACAAAGUGGACUGAAUCAAAACUUAUGUUAUUGAGUUGAAAUUAAAUCAACUCAACAAAGGAGAAGAGUCCAGAGACCAAAAGAGGAGUCCCUUAGUCUGGAAUUCUUCUACGCAUUUGUCUUCCUAUCAGGGCCUGUGGAGUCAACCAUCAGACAGGAUGUCAGCCUCUCGGAGGUGCCUGUGCUGCGUGAAAUACCUCAUGUUCGUCUUCAACCUCAUCUUCUGGCUGGGAGGGUGUGGCCUGUUUGGAGUGGGAGUGUGGCUAUCAUUCACCCAGUCCGAGUUCUCCUCCCUCCCGCUGUCUUUUCCCUCACUCUCUGCAGCAAACCUACUUCUGGUCGCUGGGGGCGUCACCAUGGUGACAGGCUUCCUGGGUUGCCUUGGCGCCCUGAAGGAGCAGCGCUGCCUGCUGAUGACGUUCUUUGUAAUUCUUUUGAUCCUGGUGUUGACAGAGGUGACUCUAACCCUGGUCCUCCAUAUCUUUCACAACGAGCUGGACACGAAAGCUCAGGAUGAGUUAAAGGAGGGGAUGAAGGAUUACUUGACAGACGAAGGACUGAAGAGGUCAUGGGACAAUGUGCAGAAAAUGUUCAAGUGCUGCGGCGUGACCAACAAAACAGAUUGGUACCUCGUGAUCAACGGAACGCUCCCCUUUUCCUGCUGCUCCAGUGGGAUGGACCAAUGUGUUGAAGGAUGGAUCGAGCCGUGUUAUCAGAAGGCCAGACAGUGGCUCCUGGACAACAUCCUCUCUGUCCUGGUGUUUGGAGUCUGCAUUGGCAUUGUCCAGAUCCUGGCUCUGAUUUUCUCCCUGCUGAUGUACUGCCAGAUCCUCCGUGCUGAGAAGUACUUGGACUGAUCUGGGACUGGUCCUUCACAGACAGGAGAGGCUGAAUGAGAGACUCCCUAGCUGGCGCAGAGUUCAUCUAACGUUUCUUUCAAGUUUUGCUUCGGUUAUUUUAAAAAUAACUUCUCCACACCGCGGUGGGAACUAAAAAAAAGUGUUGGCUGGGUCCUGAAUGUUAUAUACCUGCUGCUGGGGAUGGUUUUUCAGAACAUUAGAUCCAGAUCAAAAUCAUCCUUUUUGCAUGUUCAAUUCUGUUUAAGUUUAAUAAAAUAUAUUUGAAUGAGAACACAUCACACAUUUGAAGGGUUAUUUUCCUCUGGAUUGAUGGUUCUUAGAACACUGCACUAAAAACCAUGGUGCACAUUCCAGGUCGUCUUCAUUGCGGUCAUGUUGCUCAGAUCUCACAACGCCUGGCAAAGUGUAAUUCAUUUGGCUUUGAGAGAUCUGAUCAUCUGGAAUACAGCCCUUUACUUAUCAUGUUUACGGAAGGACAUUAUUUGUAACUAUUGGGGACUACGUGCUACUUGUCACUUUCACUAUUAGCCGAUGAUAUUGUUUAGUAGUGAAAAUAUAAAGUGCUAACUCUGAUGUCCAUGAACAAGCAGUGAGAUUUGCCCCAAAGAAACACUUACAGUAUUCUGUUCAACUGCAGCAUAUUUUAAGCAGAAGUCUAAACUAUACGUUUUAAAGUGAGCCUUACCAAAGCAAAUAAAAUGUAAAUACAUUGUAAUUUGUAUGCAUGUGAAGUGGUAGUUGUUUUGUGAACUUGAGCAUUUUGUAAAAUACACACAUGUAUGACUCUGAUUGUGAAUGCGGUAAUAGUUCAAACAACUUGUUUUCCAUAUUGUGCGUAUGAGGUGUUGUCGGUAUGAAUUCACUUCUCUUAUAGUUGAGACGAGCCUAUGCUUUCAUAUACUUAUUCCGUCCAAUAGACAACUGAAGAGGUAAUUGACUUGCAAUAGGGUUCGUCAUUCUAAUGAAAUAUAUAUCACAUAUAAUUAUAAAUGGACUAUGAAAGUAUGCUAUUUAAUUAUGAUCUGCAGUCAUAACACCAAGUAAUGAAACCCAAACCAAACCGAUGACUACACUGUACAGUUCUUUGUAAAACAUGUCUAUAGAAAAACUUUGAUAAAAAAAUUAUUGUAUAAGUACACAUGAUUUUCAGACAAAUACAAUUGUGACAAUUCACGUGUCGUAGUGUUAUAAAAAGAUAAUGCCUUCUCCGUCUCUCAUCACAGGAGAGACUGAGGUCAUAGGAAGGGCCCUGAGUUCUACCUGACCUGAUCGGAAACAACUCCAGGCCUUAGUCCUAGAUUAGAGUUCAUACAGUAUUCCUGUGUUCACCAUUCAAAGGAAGUAGUGAGGAUUUCCCGAGCUGCCUUGACGGUGUAGGGUUGUCAGUCGUACUCCAAAAUCUCUAGCAAACUGAACGAUACUUUCCUGCAGAUGGAAAAUGGGAGGUGUGGGAUUAGAUUUUGAGGGAAAAUCAGAACCAGAUGCCUGAUGUGGUCAGUGACUUCUGCCUCCUGGUGGUUGUGUUUGGAAACAACCUUUAAACAGACAGGGGGCGCCAAUGUCCACAUUUACAUUUUUUAAAAGAGGGGUUAUCUUACAAUGUCACGAAAACGAUGCGCAAGCUUCAAUGGGGCAAAAAUCCGUGUGUUGUUGCGAUUCUGGAUGGCCAGAAGGCUAGCAACAAUGACAAGAUGCCAUGUGGGGAAUUGUAAGUGGCUCGUUUCAGCUAGUUUUAUCUUGUUCUUGAUACCAUACCAUGUCUUGUUUUGAG